CAGCAGCAGCAGCAGCGGGAGAGAAAGCGAAGACGACCCUUAGUGAGAGAAAGAGAGGAGGAAGGAGCGACUGUACGAGUCCAUGUGAGAGCAGAAGUGAAGGUAAAGAAGAGGUCAGCAGGCCACUUGAAGUUCCAGGACUUGUCAAGGGUGCUUCAAGGUCUGCUCAAACCCAGGAAUUGAACCUGCCAUCUUUAAAUCUCCCAAAUCAGAACAGUUCAGAUCCGGGACGAGCCUGCACCAUGGAGAAACAACAUCAGCAAAGGUGAGCAUGCUGGGGACUCGUGCAGGGACCUGGAUGGACCCCGCUGCCUCUGCUGUGGGAGCCUCCAGAUGUGUGCCACCCGAGAUGACAAUAAGAGGGGACCCUGCACGGUUUGGAUGUUUUCACCGAGGAGCGCAGUGAGCCAGACGCAGACACCGACAGACCGACCUUCCUCCUCCCGUGUCCUCCCUCUCUGCCUCAUCCGGAAGAAGACAGGACUCUGAGAAUAUAAUCCAGCAGCACUGAAGCGACAGCAGCUCCUGGACCUGAGUGUGUUUUAACACUGAUGACUGCAGGACCAGAAAUGAGAGGAAAGAGAAAGGAGAGUGAAGCAGCCGAUGGAGCAGAGAGGGACAAUAAAGGCUGGGCGGGAUGAGGAGCGGAGAGGCUCGGGAUUAACCGACACCUUUUUUCCAGCAGCAACACCCGAAACUCCUGAAAGUCAGGCCCGUCGGAGUGGGACACACCCGCCCUCUCCCUGUCCUCUGAGCCAGAAAGAGACGUCUAAUCCCAAACGGAGAAGGAUGAAAAAAGGGACGAUGUGACAGCAGCUACCAUGGACAGCAACAACACACACACCAACAUACACACACAGACGCAGCUGCCAUGACGUCGUGGACGUCGUGGGAUAAACAGAGCUGAAGCUGUUUGGGCUGCGAGGACACGACCGAGGCGUGACCGUGGAUUCUCAAAAUGUCCGAAAUGAGUGUGUGCAUUUAAUGUUGAAGUUUUUCACACACUGUGAGACCCAUAAAAAAUACUAUCAAUUAAACUGCUUUGUAGCAUAACACUUAAAUGCUGUGAGAGUGUGUGUGAGUGUGUGUGUGCUGGUUUUAGUGUGAAAGUCUUUGCAAAUGUUUGUGCGUAAAAAUGAGCUCCAAAUCUGAAGUUGCACAUUUUUAAAUGUGUAAUUUUAUGUGCAAUGAUGCCAGAAUGUGGAACAAACAUUUUAUGGUAUGUGUGUGAAGAUUAUUUUGACAUUGUGUGAUAUAUUUAUUUCUGCAUAUUUUAACUAUAACUGUAAACAUCUGCUUGGAUGUUCAGUAAAUUUCCCCUUCUUUGAAUUUGUUACACAACUUGCUGCUCCUUGCUCCCUCUCGGUGUCACGUUGGCUUCGA